rnacentral:rRNA from 1 species
UACGUAGGGGGCAAGCGUUGUCCGGAUUCAUUGGGCGUAAAGAGCGUGUAGGCGGCUAGGUAGGUCGGUUGUGAAAACUGGAGGCUCAACCUUCAGACGUCGACCGAAACCAUCUGGCUAGAGUCCGGGAGAGGAGAGUGGAAUUCCUGGUGUAGCGGUGAAAUGCGCAGAUAUCAGGAGGAACACCAAUGGCGAAGGCGGGUCUCUGGGCAGUAACUGACGCUGAGGAGCGAAAGCGUGGGGAGCGAACAGG